UGUCCCUUCGGUCGGCGAUACGC
rnacentral:siRNA from 1 species